GGCAAUGAGUCGUUGUUUUCGACAAACAGAUCCAGUUUUUUCCAGUUUUAUAACAAACAAGCCAGCACAUUUUGCUUAAGAAUGAAGCAAUUUCAUUUCAGUUUUUCACGCGAUCGGCCGUGCGAUAUAUUAUCUAAUUUACGGAAUCAUACAGGUAAUUAGUGAGUGGUUUUUCGUGUACUUACUACGUGUGCAAUUGUUAAAUACUGAAUUUAGUGUUUGAUAGUGAGUUAUAAUGGAUUGUACGUAGUUUUAGGAUCGAGGAGCUUGUAUAUACACAAGCAGGAUCAAGUAUAUUAUAAAGAUGUCUGAAGAAUCAGCCUCGAAGAUGUUGACGAAAAAACGAAGAUUCUCUGCUUGGGAAAAUGCGCCCGUACAAUUAUCGGAAGAACACUUCCGAUGUUGGAAAAAGUAAAUUUGAAAAUUUUCGAUGGGUUUUGGGAAAUUAUCUGAAAAACAACGCCAAAAACAUGGCUAAAGCGUGGA